rnacentral:tRNA from 1 species
UCCCUGGUGGCUCAGAUGGUAAAGAAUCUGCUUGAAAUGCAGGAGGCCUAAGUUCAAUCCUUCGGUAGGGAA